UGUGGCUCAGUGGUAGAGCACAUUCCUAGCACGUAUGCGGCUCUGGGUUCAAACACCAGCA
rnacentral:tRNA from 1 species